CUGGGAAAAGCUUAAUUUGCAGAUUAGUAAAACAGGGCAUAACAAAAUCUGUUUACCUGAUAACUGGUUAGUUUUUUUACUGAUCUCAAAUUAAAUAAUCUCCUGUUGCUUGCUGUUCAACAUUCCCCAUUUUGAGUAAAGAAAUUCUAAUGGAUGCAAUCUUUUAAUUAAAAAAAAAACCCAAAACAGGGAGACCCAGGACCAAUGGGAUUGCCAGGACUGGAAGGACUCCCAGGGGAAAAGGGUGACCGUGGACCAGCCGGCGCACCAGGAGUAUCAGGGACACCGGUAUGUAUAUUCUUUAAAGAAAGCUCAGCUUUUUAGAAGCUGAAAAAACAGUCAAGCAAGGUGCUGAG
rnacentral:lncRNA from 13 species